rnacentral:rRNA from 1 species
UACAGAGGGUGCAAGCGUUGCUCGGAUUUACUGGGCGUAAAGCGUGCGCAGACGGCAAGGCAGGUCGGGUGUGAAAGCCCCGGGCUCAACCCGGGAAAUGCAUUCGAAACCACCUCGCUCGAGUGUGGAAGAGGGAAGCGGAAUUCCCGGUGUAGAGGUGAAAUUCGUAGAUAUCGGGAGGAACACCAGCGGCGAAGGCGGCUUCCUGGUCCAUUACUGACGUUCAGGCACGAAAGCGUGGGGAGCAAACAGG